AUGACGCUGGCACCGAAGGAGCUGUCCAACCUGCUGGGCAUCAUCUCGGAGGAGGCUUGCACCAACACGUUCGAGACUCUGUCCACGCACUUUCACCACUUCUUCGGCAAGGCGGAGCACUUCCGCGCGGGCUCGGUGCUCGUCAUGCUCCUGCAGCAGCCCGACUUGCUGCCCAGCUCGCCGCAGCGGCUCACCGCGCUCUACCUGCUCUGGGAGAUGUACCGUACCGAGCCGCUGGCAGCUAACCCCUUCGCCGCCGUGUUCGCGCACCUGCUCAACCCCGAGCCCGAGAAGCUGCUCUCGGGCUUCCUGCCACCCAUCACGCAGCCUGAGAAGUUCUUUCUGUCACAACUGAUGUUGGCGCCGCCCCGAGAUUUGUUCAAGAAGACGCCGAGACAAGUAUCGUGCAUGGACGUCAGCGGAAUGCCGCAGUCCAUCGACAUCAGCGGCCUGCAGCUCGCCCUGGCGGAGCGUCAGUCCGAAUUGCCCACACAAAGCAAGGCCAGCUUCCCCAGCGUCCUCAACGACCCGGACCCAGACUCGUCCAACUCGGGAUUCGACAGCUCCGUGGCCAAUCAGAUCAUCGAGUCUCUGGUCACUGAGCCGCGCCCACCGUUGGAAAGUCACUUCCGCCCUGAGCUGAUUCGUCCUCCUCCCCCGUUGCACGUGUGCGAGGACGAGUUGGCGUGGCUCAACCCCACUGAGCCGGACCACCGCGUUCACUGGGACCGCUCCAUGUGCGUCAAGAACAGCACCGGGCUUGAAAUCAAACGGGUCAUGGCCAAAGCCUUCAAGAGCCCGUUGUCUGCGCAGCAGCAGUCGCAGUUGCUGGCUGAGCUGGAGAAGGACCCCAAGCUGGUGUACCACAUCGGGCUGACCCCCGCCAAGCUUCCCGACCUGGUGGAGAACAACCCCCUGGUGGCCAUUGAGAUGCUGCUGAAGCUGAUGCAGAGUAGUCAGAUUACCGAGUACUUCUCUGUGCUGGUCAACAUGGACAUGUCGCUGCAUUCCAUGGAGGUUGUCAACAGGUUGACCACGGCUGUGGACUUACCUCCAGAGUUCAUCCAUCUUUACAUCUCCAACUGCAUCUCCACCUGUGAGCAGAUCAAAGACAAGUACAUGCAGAACCGUUUGGUGCGUCUGGUGUGCGUGUUCCUUCAGUCUCUAAUCCGUAACAAGAUCAUCAACGUUCAGGACCUGUUCAUCGAGGUCCAGGCAUUCUGCAUCGAAUUCAGUCGUAUACGCGAGGCGGCCGGACUCUUUCGCCUCCUCAAGAGUCUGGACACUGGCGACGGCGGACUUCCUGACGCCAAGACUACCAAAUAAGGGCUACAAAAAUACUGUAAAUAGUUUUACUCCUUUCAAUGCAAAAUUAUGGAAAUAAAACCUUUUUGUGGGGGAAUUCUGAAAUGGUCAUAAAUUGAUUGACUGGUGGUCACUAAGGUUGACAUUUAUCCCAACUGGUGUGACGUCUGCAGCACCCAAGUUAGAGGAACUCAAAGUCCAAAGAACUGCAAGUUCCUGGAACUUUAGAUUGAAACUCGAGCGUGUGUUUAAAAGCACCUGACUGUAUAUGGGAAAGUGUUUGUGUACAAAAAAUUGACAAUUGACAUGAUCUCAUUUAUUUAUA